rnacentral:lncRNA from 1 species
AAAGCCACCCCUUUUUGCCUUGUAACCCCUCUAAGGACCUACAUCCGAAACAUCAACUCCAAACCAUGCUUGCAAUUAUGGUUGGUGACCAAAAUGGCUUAUAAAAGCCCAAAAACUCCACAAAAUGGGAUCUAACAAAUGAACUAACAAGGUAUAGACUUUACACCUUCUGAAGACUGCAAUUGAUACCCAAAAUCGGAUCCUUCUAGCCUCCUCUUGAUCCUUCAAGCUUUUCCUUCCUUCCUUGGUUCACAAAACACCAAAAUCACUCCAAAUGCCUUAGAUUGCUUCAAUAACGACUAGGGUUUGCUAUAGGGGUCUUCUGGGAGCAAAUGGGACGAAGGAGGCCGAGUUAAGGUGUUUAAAUAGGGUGCAAACCCUCGGAUUAGGGUUUUUGUCCAAACAGGGCCUACUCGUCGAGUCCGGGACCCAACUCGUCGAAUCCACAGCUUAAACCCCGUGUUUCAUCCCGCUUCUACUCGACAAGUUUUUCCUUCAACUCGCCGAGUCCAAGGCCAAAAAUGCAAAAAUAAUAAAAGAAUACGUACCAAGAACCACAUGCUACAAAUCUCCCCCACUUAUUUUAGACUUCGUCCUCGAAGUCUGCUGUUCGAUCUUGAAAUAGCUCAGGGUAAUGCUCCAUUAUCUUGUCCACCAGCUCCUAAGUCCACUCCGACCCCUUCUGGUGUUGCCAUUGCACCUUCACGAGUUCCACUCUUUUGUUCCUUAAAUCCUUCGGCUUCCGGUCGAGGAUUGCCACUAGUCUCUCAAUGUACUUUAGGCUAUCAUCAACCUGAAUGUCCUCCAAGCGUACCACUGCUGAGGCGUCCACCAGGCACUUUUGUAGCUGAGAAACAUGGAAAGUGUUGUGUAUCUGACUGAGUUCGACUGGCAAAUCUAGCCCAUACGCCACCUUGCCCACCUGGGCUAUAACCCUGAACGGUCCGAUGUACCUGGGGCCCAACUUGCCCCAUUUCCUAAAUCGGAUAACGCCUUUCCAUGGCGACACCUUCAGGAGCACCAUAUCCCCGACCUGGAACUCCAAGUCUGAUCAGAGCUUAUCGGCAUAGCUUUUCUACCGACUCUAAGCAGUCUGAAGCCUGCUCUGGACCUGCUGAAUCUUCUCUGUCGUCUUGAGCACUACCUCAGUGCUCCCCAUUACCCUCUGUCCAACCUCGCCCCAACAUAUCGGGGUCCUACACUUCCUCCCAUAUAGCAUUUAGAAAGGAGGAUGAUCAAUGCUCGCAUGAUAACUAUUGUUAUAGGAGAACUUUGCCAAUGGAAGGAAGGUAUCCCAACUACCUCCAAAGUCUAAUACGCAUGCCCACAGCAUAUCCUGCAGGGUCUGGAUGGUCCGCUUGCUCUGACCAUCCGUCUGCGGGUGAAAGGCGAUGCUAAAAUGCAGACGAGUACCCAACUCGUCAUGAAACUUCCUCCAAAACCUGGAACUGAACCGCACAUCCCUGUCUGAAAUCACAGAAACUGGCACACCGUGCCGCGCCACCACCUCCCAGAUAUAGAUGUCGGCCAACUUCUCGGCCGAGAUGCUCUCCUGAAUCGGGAUAAAAUGGGCGCCCUUGGUCAAUCGAUCGAUGAUGACCCAAAUCGAAUCCACUCCCCGCGCGGUCCUGGGAAGCUCGGUGGUAAAAUCCAUCGUGAUGUCUUCCCGUUUCCACAGCGGAAUAUCCAACGGCUGCAUCUUGCCGUGAGGUCUCUGAUGCUCAGCCUUGGCCUUUCUACAGGUCCAGCACAGCUCCACGAACCAUGCCACAUCCCGCUUCAUGCAGGGCCACAAAUAGUCCAGACGAAGAUCCUUAUACACUUCGUCGCCCCAGGAUGAAUGGAAAACCGAGAUUUGUGCGCCUCCUCCAUCAGAACCUGGCGCACACCCCCGUGGUAUGACACCCACACCCUAUGGUGUAGUGUCAGUAAUCCUCGGCUGUCAUAGUCAAAGCAGGAAACCUGCCCCACGAUCCGCUUGCUCAUCUGAUGUUCCUCCUUUAUGGCCUCCUACUGGGCCUCCCGAAUCCGCUCCAACAGCGGAGUCACCACCGUCAUCCUCAGGCAGAUAUCCGAAAUCGGCACUGCCUUGCGGCUAAGCGUGUCGGCCACCACGUUGGCCUUACCCAGGUGAUAAAGGAUCUCGCAAUCGUAAUCCUUUACCACGUCUAUCCACCGACACUGCCUCAUGUUUAUAUUCGGCUGAUCCAUGAGGUACCUCAAACUCUUAUGGUCCAUGUAGAUGGUACAGCGAACCCCAUGGAGGUAAUGAUGCCAAAUCUUGAGGGCGAAUACAAUAGCCCCCAACUCCAAAUCAUGCGUUGGGUAGUUCACCUCGUGAGGCUUUAGCUGCCUUGACGCGUAGGCGAUGACAUGCCCUCUCUGCAUCAAUACUGCGCCCAAACCUGAGAUGGACGCAUCACAGUACACAACAAAAUCCUACAUGCCCUCUAGCAGGCCUAAGAUUGGCGACUCGCACAAUCUAUGUCUCAGUGUCUCGAACGCAGCCUGCUGCUCAGGACCCCAACAAAAGACCACGACCUUCCUUGUUAGCCUGGUCAGGGGCAUGACUAUCUUGGAGAAAUCUUGGAUGAAUCUCCGAUAGUAGCCGACUAAUCCUAGGAAACUCCGAAUCUCGGAUGGAGACUUCGGAACCUCCCAUCUCAUCACGGCCUCCACCUUGGCCGGGUCCACUGAGAUCCCAUUCUGGUUGACGAGAUGCCCAAGGAACUGCACCUCGUACAACCAGAACUCAAACUUGGAGAACUUAGCAUACAAGUUCUCCAUCCUCAAAGUCUCCAGAACCUCUCGCAGAUGCUCCUCGUCCUCCUCCUGCAUCUUGGAGUAAACCAAUAUAUCAUCAAAAAACACUAUCAUAGACCGGUCUAACAUCGGUCUACAAACGCGGUUCAUGAGGUCCAUGAACGCGGCAGGAGCAUUGGUGAGUCCGAAGGGCAUCACCACAAACUCGUAGUGGCUAAUGCGUGUCCGAAACGCAGUCUUCUGCACAUCCUCCUCUCUGACCCUCAUCUGAUGAUAUCCUGAACGCAGAUCAAUCUUGGUGAACCAAGAUGCUCCCUGUAGCUGGUCAAAGUGAUCAUCAAUCCUCGGGAGUGGGUAACAGUUCUUCAUUGUUACCUUGUUUAGCUCCCGGUAAUCUAUACACAUCCGAUACGACCCGUCCUUCUUCCUCACAAACAGAAUCGGGUCUCCCCACGGAGAGCUACUCGGUCUAAUGAAUCCCUUGUCUAACAGCUCCUGCAGCUAUGUAGACAACUCCUGCAUCUCGGGAGGAGCCAACUGAUAUGCUGCCUUUCCUAUCGGAGCCGCACAAGGGACUAGGUCGAUCCUGAACUCCACCUGCCUCCCUGGAGGUAUCCUUGGAAACUCCUCGGGGAAUACAUCCAUAAACUCUCGCACUACGGGCACAUUGCCCAUUGUCGCCUUACCCGCCUCCCGGGUACCCAUAAUAUAAGUGACAUAUCCUGCGCAACCCUUCUGAAGGUAACGCCUAGCUCUCGCUGCUGAACAUACUGCUGGUCCUUGUUGUGGCCUCUCGCCCAGAACUACCAACUCUCCCCCACUUGGAGUCCUGAUCUGAACCAGCUGUUGUGCGCAAUCUAUCACUGCUCCAUUGGGGCUCAACCAAUCCAUGCCUAUAAUCACCUUGUUCCCUCUCAACAAAAUAAGAACCAAGUCCACCAGAUAACGCUCCUCGAAUAAUCUCAGCACACAGUCUCGGAAUACUGUCGAUGCUCGCACCUAUCGGUCAUCUGCAAUCUCUACCUCUAAAGGGAAAUCCAGCAUGCCCGAAGACUCAGGAAACUUCUUGCUAAGUGCAAGAGAGACAAAUGAUCGGGUAGCCCCCGAAUCAAAUAGUACCUGAACUGGGAUACCGUUUACAUGGAACGAGCCUAAACAAAGCACAUACAUAACAUAUCAAAAUUACAGCAGCACAUCAUAAAGCAUGAAGAUAUGAAAUCAUACCUGUCACAACAUCGGGUGCAGCGCGUGCCUCCUCAGUAGUAAGCUACAAUGCCCGGCUCCUCACUACUGGAGCCUCUGCCUUGCCCUGCUGGCCAUCAGUGAUCCGCAGGGUUGUUGGUGCUGGCGCCUUCACUGGCGCUGAUUUUGCUAUUAACUGGGGGCAGUUGGCCUUCUUGUGGCCCUUCUAGUUGCAGUGGAAACAUAGCCACUCAGACGUCUGAAUAAACGGUGCAGGAGCAGUACAAUCCCUGCUGAAAUUCCCCGUCUUGCGGCACUUGUAGCAGUCUGACGAUCCCAAUCUACAUGCCUCCUCGUGUGGCCUGCCGCAUUUCCUGCAGCGGCCCGGUCCUGAUGAGCCUUUCGGCCUACCGUCUGAUCCCUUGGGCUUCUUCCCCGAAGCCCCAGUCGUCUGACCCUCCUCUAUCUUUCUUUUCCUGACAUGCUCCAGAUCAAUCUCCCUCUCCCUUGCCCUAGCAAUCAUGGAAUCCAGGGUAGGGCAUGCUGAAAAACUAACAUGCUCCUGAAUGUCAGCCCAUAGCAUGUCGUGGUAGCGGGUACUCAUCAUAUCCUCAUCUCCCACAUACUGGGGAACCAGCAAUGCCUUCUCCCAGAACUUGGCGGUGAUCUCCGCGACAGUCUCUAUAGUCUGUCUCAUAUCGAAAAACUCCUUGGCCAGAUGUUGAAGCUCUACAGCUGGCACAAACUCUGCUCGAAAUCGGGUCACAAAAUCUGACCAUGUCAUAGCCUCAACAGUCGAGGCUCCCAGAGAGUCACCAACCGACUCCCACCAAUCCCUGGCGCGGUCCCUCAAACAUCCUGCAGCAAAUCAUACCUUCGACCCCUCGGGGCAGAAGCUGGUCAGCUGCGCGGACUCAAUAUCCACAAUCCAUCGUCUGGCAGCAAUGGGGUCCUUCUCCCCAUGGAAAUCUGGUGCACCGUUUCCCCUGAAGUCCUUAAAGGACAGUGUGCGGGAUCCUGACUAGCCAGAUGCCACAUCACUCCUGAACGCCCUGAGGCGAUCCUCCAUCAACUCGACUAUCCCUUCCUUGAUCGACCCGAAGAUGAUGGGUGUCGACUCAAGGAUGCAUCUGGUGAUCUCUGACGCGAUGAACUCGCGUAGCCUCUCAUCUACUGGCUCGGAACCUGAUCCGGAACCCGAUCCCUCUCAUGAACUUCCAAGUACUAGCCUCUGAUGUAGUACCACCAUACUGCAAAACAGAAUACCAACCGUUACUGAUACCGAUACAUCUCGAGGGAUCACAUCCACCACAAGUUCCCUGGUCUUGUCUCAUCCUUCCUCAAUUUAGGAACGAAUCCUCUGCUUUCAGUAGUACGGCCCUAUACUACCUUCCACAUCCACUGUACAUUCUUCAAGGACUUCCUUGACUCCACCAAGUCCCCUUUACCACUGCUGAUCCUCUUCUAUUCCAAUUCUAGGCUUACCCUAGGGAAAAUCUCUAAUUCCACCCCAAACUGGUCCUCAGCUGCUGAAGGCCUCCUUGUAAUUCCAAUUAGCCUUUACCUGAAUACCAUCGCAUGUGAAGAGGCUCAGAUAAUCCUUCGAGUAAUAGACUCGUCCCUACAACGGUUAGACUCAGACAAGAGCUACAGCAAUAGGGCCAAAUCCACCACUCUGAGAUUAUUCAACCCUGAUCACAUGUGACGUGACGUAUUCAGCUAAUGGCUAACUCCCAUCACUCAGAGUCCCACAAAGCACAAAGCAAGCGGCAUUCAGAUGCAGGAAAACUACUCAAGCCAAUAUGUCCUCAUAAUUAGAAGUUGAACUAGCAUAUAACGCUGAGCUCAUACUAUCAGGCAUAACCUAAACAGGCUAUCCUACUACUGCCUACUCAAUACUAGCAUGCAAUUCUUAUAAGCUGAAGCACAUAAAGCAGGCACAUAAGGCAUCAUUCCUAGAUCCUUAGUCCUAUUCUAGCAUGAUGUUCUACUGAAACUGAUAAACAUAAGAUAACUGGUAUGGGUACUAUGGGGAACACUUACUUGAGCUCGGCCAGUUGCGCACAUUACACACUUGUUCCUUCUCAAAACUCUUUUAUCUUAGCUUUUAGGAAGUCAUUUUCCUUGUAAAAAUCUUUUAAUCCCUUGGUUUGAGUCCAGACACCCCCGAAGGUGUGUCCGAAUCCCUCAAACCAGGGCUCUGAUACCAACUUGUAACGACCCAAUUUUCACGUCCAAAAAUUUCAUUUUAGAUUAAGUGAGUUGCAAAACAUUUGUAACAGAAUAUCAUCCGAUCAUAUCGAUUAAUAAAAACAUGUCUCGUUUCUGGAAACCGAAUCGUAAAACAUAAUAAUGUCAGAGUACAAAUCCCAGAAUAACUCAUAGUGCGGAAAAUAAAGAGUGUAUGUAUGAUGUGCCACUAACGCGCCAGCUCCUUCCCAUUCGCUGAAGAGGUACCUGAAACCAAAACUGUAAACUGUAAGCACGAAGCUUAGUGAGUCUCCCCAUCGUACCACAACCCAUAUAAUCACAAAGCAUACAUACUACCAGUCAAUUCUAGGGUGCCCGACCUACCCGGUACGGCCAUUCUAGGGUGCUGUCCUACCCAUGCGGCCUUUUUGGGGUGCCAUCCUGCCCAUGUCAUGCCAUUCUGCAGUGCUGACCUACUCGUCGGUCCUAACAACCGACCCACGGGGACUAUUCCACCCCUUGCUGCUACUAUCACAUAUUUCAUAACGUAAACAUACUAUCAGACAUAUAUGGGGUGUCCGAGUUACCCUUCGGUCCUAACAACCGAACUUGGGGACUAUUCCACUCCUACUACCGCUAUCAUAUAUAACAUAUCAUGCCAGCAUCUAAACAUAUCAGCACAUAUUAUCAAACAUAUCUGGGGUGUCUAACCUACCCUUCGGUCCUAACAACCGAACUCUACUACUAUGACAUAUAACAUAUCAUGCUAGCAUAUAACAUAUUAGGUAGCAGCAAACCUGGAUAAUAUCACAAAGAAAAUCAUAUAACAUACAACUCGUACUGGUGGGCCGGCAUUAUGGCCAUAGAACCACCACUACUGGAAGGUAACUCACCUCGUAGUAGCUGCUGAUCUGUACGGGAAUCCUCUGACUGCUGCCAUUGCUGCUCCGGAACUCCUCCGGCUAUAAUUCCCACAAAACACUUAGCCAUACACUACUAACUGCUCUUAGGGUAAAAUAACCAUUUUACCCCUGACCAAAUCAAAGUCAAAGUCAACUUCUAGUGGACUUGACUCGCCAAGUUGGCUCGCCAACUCGUCGAGCCCAUGUCCUUCCAUUUAUCCUUAUACGUGUCUCUACUCGUCGAGUUAGGCGAUGACUCGACGAGUGUUCCUUCUAAAUGAACAUCGCCUGAAUCUUCAUUCGACUCAGCGAGUUGUAUGAACAACUCAUCGAGUUCAUCUUCAACUGAUACACAGGUCUUGUCCUUGACUCGCCAUGUUGUAUGAACAACUCGUCGAGUUCAUCUUCAUCCUUAAGAAGAUUGCCUUGAACUCGCCGAGUCCGCUCAUGCACUCGCCGAGUCCGCUCAUGCACUCGCCGAGUCCCAUGAACUUCCAGAACAAUGGCUUAGUCCAGAACAUUGGGUCACUCUCCAAGACCCCCAAAAGCCUUUCCACACUCAACUGGGUCCUUAUGACCCUCAACUGAUACAGGACAGAAGCCUAGGACUCGCCGAGUCCAAGAAUGGACUCGUCGAGUUGGUCACAUCCACUCACUAGAUCCUCGAUUUCUGAUGUACAACCCUUGAUCAAAAGAUAGAUCUAUGCUUCUAUAAUUGAUCUAGCACGUAAAGUUACAACCUUUCACUACUAGAAAAAAGGCCUUUUACGACGCUCAUUGCGCGUNCCCUUGAUCAAAAGAUAGAUCUAUGCUUCUAUAAUUGAUCUAGCACGUAAAGUUACAACCUUUCACUACUAGAAAAAAGGCCUUUUACGACGCUCAUUGCGCGUCGUAAAACGCUCAGACGACGCGCAAAUGCGUGUCAAGGAAGGCCCUGUCAUAAAGAGAGACGACGCGCUUUUGCGCGUCGUCUAUAGACGACGCGCAUUUACGACGCGCAUUUACGACGCGCAAUUACGACGCGCGGUUACGACACGCAAUGCGUAUCAAGGAAGGCCCUGUCAUAAAGGAAGACGACACGCAUUCGCGUGUCGUAACCUUACGACGCGCGUGUUAAUGACAUGCAAUGCGUAUCAAGAAAGCCCCUGUCAAGAAAGGCCAUGUCAUAAAUGAAGAUGACAUACAUUUUUGCGUAUCGUAAAUUUAAAUGUUUAAAAAAAAAAAAUUUAUAUAUUUAUUAAUUUUUAAAUUAAAUUUUCAUUUAAUUUCUUAUAAUAGAAAUAAAAUACCAUAUACAAAAAAUACAAUCCAUUGCAUAAUAUAAAAUAAAUUGCACAAAUUAUAAUGUCAUACAAAGAAUCAUUCAAAUGUUAAACAAAAAUAAUACAUUGCUAACAUGUGUUAUACAUUCCUAUAAAACUAACAAAUAAUCAUACAACUCUGUUUCUUACUGGAAAGGAAUGCCAAACAUGAUUACAAGUCUCCCUUAAUCUUGAUUAUAAUCAAAUGUAUCUUUAAUUCUUUAUAUAAAUGAAGCUUAAAUGAUGUCUUUAAAUAAUGAACACAAUAAAUGUUAUAAACCUUUUGAGGCCCCAUAACAUCAGGAUCUGAGUUUUCUAUUUCAACUGCAGGACUACCGUUAGUUUAAGGAUCACUUUUUGGACGCUUUUUCUUCUGCAUACAUUAACAAACAUGUUAACUUUCAAGAAAUAUAUUUAGUUUUUAGGCUCAUAGUGGCAUGCAUAUAGUUGAGGUGAGAGAAAGGUAUACAUACAGCUAGUAAGACAUCCAGACUAUCCAUAACAGGUGGUUUCAAAUUUUCAUAAUCAACUGCAUUGUAAGAUAACAUGAACACAAGAAAGGUAAUCAAAGGUUAAAAUAUUACAUAUUUACAUGUUAAAAGUGUAAAGAAAAGAUGAUGUGGUUACACAGCUUACCAUCAGAAUUUAAGAGGUCGCUACUUAAUGUGUGUCCUACUUGUGCCAUAGAAAUCAACUACAAUCACCACACACACCGAAAAGGGUCAUGUAUACAGAAAUGGUGGAUAGAAGAGAAAGAAGAUAAAGCUAAAAAACUACCUGCAUUGUAGUAAUAAACUCUUUGAAGCCAAGAAAGCCUUGUCGUCUAGAAUCUGCAAUUGCCCAUACCUUAAGAAGUAGUAUGAACAGGCGUAGAGAAAUAGUUAGGACAGAUUGGGAUUAAAAGAGUAGAAAAGCAGAAAGAGAACUAUAAGCUAACUUCUGUGCCCUUAUGAGCACACUUAGCAAUCAAAUUAAUGAUCAAAACUUGAGGAGGUAAAACACUAUCUAAAAAAUAAAUAAUCAUUUAUUUAGAGAGUUAAAUGCAAGAACUAAUGCAGACAGAGCUUCCACUAGAGCUGAAAAGAAAAAAAAACAUAAAAAAAUAUGACAAGAUCUUUAUAAAUGUAGUUGAAUAAACAAAAAUCAGAGGAAUGAUGCACAGAUGAUGAUGAAGCAGAGACAAAUAAGAAAGUAGAUUCAAAGAAGAAAGGAUGGUUUUCAUCCAUGUUCCAAAGGUUAGUUUAUAACUCGUAUUUUUUUCAUUUUUAGCAUUUUUAAUGGUCAUUUAGUCUCGUUUAGAUGGUCUAUUCAGUCUAGAAAGGCAACACUCCUUAUGUUGUAACAGAGUUGGAAAGUCAAUAAAUCUUGCCAAGGUAUAAAAAAAUAUUAAAAAUUGAAUCUUGGCAUACAAAAAACAAAAAAAUAAUAUGUGAAAUGUUGUGUGCAUAAUCUGGUAAAUAUAUAUAUCAUCAAGGAUAUUAAUUAUUAUUUAUUAAAAUCAAAUAAAUCAUUUUAAAAGCAAAAAGUAGGCUACUUACCACAUUUUCUGGAAGAGAUGUUGCCACACCGAUAGCAGUAAUUUGGUGCAGACCAAACCUAUAAGAUGAAGAAAGAAAAUGAAACAUCAAAUUUUUUGAUUUUUGGGAGUGAAAAAAAGGGUAAAACAGGAAACUUACAGUUACAAGUCGUUUAUAUUGAAACAUGUACUUUAAAGAAUUGAAUCUCUAAGGUUUUUGUUUGGUUCAAAAGUAAAGUUGAGGUGGAUUUCUUCCCGAAGCCACUAAUGUUGGCUGCAAAAACAACACUGAGUGUUACGUAUACACUUGAAAGGAAUUGAAAAUAUCUACAGUCAUACACUUAGUUAGUUACCUGAUUAAGGGUGGGAUACUUAUCUACUUUUUGGAUCUUUGUUAUCAGAGAACAAUCUUUGUUAUCAGGUAAGCCUGGUGACACAUAUGAAGAGUCAUGAUCAUAUUUUGCAAUCCAGAAUGUGUAGUAAUCCUUUUCAUUGAGGCUCUUGGAUAGAUUGAAACAUAGUUUAGUGUUGUGUUUUCCUUCAGCCCAUCGCACAUAGACAUUAUGUCAAGCACCUUGUGGGCGUACAUCAGUAACUGACCGAACAGAGACUAAUUCGUGUUCAUGGCUAUACCAUCCAAAGCAACUUUAUGAGUAGACAAAUUAAGUGUGUGAUAUAUCAACCAUUAGUUCCGAUAUUACAUAAGAAAAUGAUAACAAGUGCAAUCACCAUGGCCUUUGCAUCAUUCUUAUACCCCUCCAGAGCUGUUGUAGUAAUUGUCACCACCUAGUCAAAACAAUAGCACACAACAGUGCCACAUCAGCAUUAUCAAAUUGCUAUCAUGAGUAAAAACAAGUACAUUUCUCAUAUCAGUAAAAGAAAAAGAAAAAGGCAAAGUACCUCUCGUUCAAAUGGAGGAUAUCUCCCAAGUCCUGGUGUAGCAUUAGCUGAAGCUGAAACUAUGUCCGCAAGUACACGAUGAACCUGUACUCAUUACAAACGAUUACAUAAAUGAAAUUAAAAGAAUAAUAAUAUUAAUAAGAGAAAAGGGGAAUUAAUUAAAAAUGAAAAAACAAAAUAAUGUGUAGUUUUUUUACCUCGUCAACACAGAGACGUGAGGGCUCUUAAUCUGAUACAUAGCAGAAAUCACAGGGACCAUUUUGUAAUUUAUUCUUAAUCGAUUUUACUGAUCACAGCAAUGGAUCUUGUUGCUAUAUUAAAAAAAUUAUAUUUUAAUAAUUCAUGAAGCCUUGACUGGAUUGCAAUUUGGGGAAACAAAGAUUAGUUGUCCCAGAUUACUUACCUUUCCUUGAACACUACUUGGAACAACUUAUCACCAUGACAAGCUAAAUCAACUAGAAACUUUCCCUAUUUACAUUUUACAACAAUACCUAUCAAUAAAUGAAACAAUUAUACUACAUUUCUUAAAAAAAAGCAUAAAAUUAGAAUAAAAUAAUGAAAUAGAUGAAGAGAAGUUAAAAAAUCACGCAUAUUAUAGAACAUAUCCAUAUCUAAUGCCUGAAGCAUUCUAGUUUAAUCAACUAGGAUAAAUGUCUAGCAAUGUGAUUACAUUGCAAUAAUUUCAUGAAGAUUAUUUAUAUAGCUUUGUUGUUUUGUAUAAGGAAAUACAAUUACCUUCCCAACUAGUAUCUCAUUAGCAUGCUGAACCCCAUAUACAUCAACAGUAUCAAAGAAUGUAACUCCUCUAUUAAAAGCUUCCUUUAGCACUUUGCUGCCUUCUUCCUUAGGGAGAGGAUUGUUAUAGAUACCUGUAAGCCCCAUGCAGCCAUACCCUAGUAUUGAGACUUGUAGAAAAGGAAAAUGAGGUUGAAUGUAUAACGGAUCCAUAUCUAAUUUGCAAUUUAUAAAAAUCUUUUCUAUCCCUAAUCAUACAACUUUUUGUCCCAGAAUUCAACUACCGAAUGCAUCAAACCCCCAAAUUGGAAGUAGAAUAUAAACCUAGAUAGAAUUAAAGAGAUGAUUUAGGGAGAAAGGUUUUAACAGAAAAGGUAAUCGUAUCACAUACUAGUUUUCUAUUAUGUUGCCCCAUGCAGCCACAUGGAUAAUGUUUUUUGCAUGUAUCAGACACAUAGAAAUUCAGAAGCCACAUGGAUAAUGUUUCUUGCCCUUUAGAAUUCAUGCACAUUCUAGUUUUCUAUUAUGUUGCUCCUUCAUUCCAAACAGAAUUACAAUUUUUCUAUAGGAAAAAGAAUCUUUUGAACUACAGAUUUGUCAAUCUGUCUUGAUAAUUUUAUGGUAACAGUUAAGUAACCCUAAAUUUCCAAUUUGUUUGUGUUUUGAACCAAUUUGUCAAAAUUAAGUACUAUUCAGAGAAUACAAGUCAACAUGAGGGGGAGAAUCACCAAAUCAAGGGCAAAAUCGACAUAAACAAGCAAAAAUUCGAACAAUAGAAAAGAGAAUUUAACAAUAUAUAUGAAAAUUUAGUGAAUAAUGCCAAUUUGAGAGAGACGUGGUUUGAAGUUUCAUAAAAUCUCAUGUUUGAAAGCCCUAUGUCGGCUCUUUGGACUGUGGUCUCGAUUACUGUAGGUAGAAUCACAUAUUUGUGGGUGCGAUCGAGCCCACUAAGUUUUAGAUGAUAUUAUCAUACCUUCAACACAAGGAAGACGAUGUUAUUGAGAGGGAGUCUUGUUGUGCGAGACAGAUCACAAAGAAGAUCUGAUGGUCAUUAAACCAGACCUAGGGCUUGUAAAUUUGAGCAUAUGUGGCGGUCUCUGUCGAGGUAAGGUUAUCCCAAGCUCUCCGGCUAAAAGAGAUGAGUCGAGAUCGUUGGUAGAUGAGGUGAGCCAAGGUAGCGAGCGUUGUAGAGAGCCUUCCCAUCUUGAAAAGAACCCUAGAAUGAUCCCUUCGAUUUCAGGGGCAAUCUUGUGAGGAUUUCAAGAAGGAGAGACUCAGUGAGGUUUUGAAUAUCGUAUGAGAACGUAUGAGCAAGGAGAAGAUGAAGGCCCUAGGGAUUUUUCUUGAGGUGGGGGGAUUAAUUUUUGGAAUCCAAUAGGCGGGAGUAAUUUUAGUCGAUUUCAUUUCCCGCCUAAAACGCGUGUUUCACUUAAAAAUUAUAAAGCGACACAUUUACACGAUGCACAUUUUAUGAAAGGCGCCCUCCGCAUUUUUUUUUUUUUCUUUUCUGACACUAAUUUUAGGGCGCGCACAAAUGCGUGUCCUUUAUCCUUCAAAUUUUGCAAAACUGACAUUAUCUUUUAGGGCACGCACAAAUGCGCAUCCUCUAUCAGCGAGUGUCAUUGUUUGCGCGUCAUUAAAGGCUGUUUUUCUAGUAGUGUUUAUGUGUUUGCAUGGGACUUUGAGCUCAAAAGGUCCUUAAACAAGCUCUUUCAAAGCAUGGGGCCUUCUUUGAGUGCAAGAGCCACUCCUUUCUGCCUUGUAACCCCUCUAAGGACCUAAAUCCGAAACAUCAACUCCAAACCAUGCUUGCAAUCAUGGUUGGUGACCAAAAUGGCUUAGAAAAGCCCUACAACUCCACAAAAUGGGAUCUAACAACUGAACUAACAAGGUAUACACUUUAUACCUUUUGAAGACUGCAAAUGAUGCCCAAAAUUGGAUCCUUCUAGCCUCCUCUUGAUCCUUCAAGCUUUUCUUCCUUCCUUGGUUCACAAAACACCAAAAUCACUCCAAAUGCCUUAGAUUGCUUCAAUAACGGCUAGGGUUUGCUAUGGGGGGCUUCUGGGGGCAAAAGGGACUAAGGAGACCGAGUUAAGGUGUUUAAAUAGGGUGCAAACCCUCGGAUUAGGGUUUUUGUCCAAACAGGGCCUACUCGCCGAGUCCGGGACCCGACUCGUCGAGUCCACAGCUUAAACCCCGUGUCUCAUCCCGCUUCUACUUGGCAAGUUGGUCCUUCAACUUGCCGAGUCCAAGGCCAAAAAUGAAAAAAUAAUAAAGGAAUACGUACCAAGAACCAGAUGCUACAGAAUGGCUACGAUAAUUUUUGGAAGAUAUACCAUGAUGGCCUAAACCAGUUUCGACAAUCUCAAUCCAUUAUGAUAGUCAAUGGGCAUUUGGACGGGCGCAAAGUGCUAUGUAUAAUGGUAAGUCUCGACACAUCCUUCGAAGACACAACACCAUUCGACAACUACUCUCAGCUAGAGUUAUCUCAAUUGACUAUAUAAGGUCCAAGAAUAACGUUGCGGAUCCGCUAACCAAAGGGUUAAACAGGGAGUUAGUUGCAAAAUCGUCAAAAGGAAUGGGAUUAAAACCCUUGAACGGAUAAGUUAUUGCGAAGGAAAACCCAACCUAGUUGACUAGAGAUCCCAAGAUCUAGGUUUUAUGGGACAACCUACUUACAUAUAACAUAUGUGGAUCAAUGUGGGGGUCAAUCCCAACCUAUUCCUAUAAAUAACAGUGAUGCAGGUUAAGCUUAUAGUAGUUGGUGAUAAGUUGGAAAUCAUCACACUUUAGCCUUUAAUGAUUAUGACAUAAUCAUCUAUGUGAGAGAGACAUGGGGUCACUUAAAAGGGAAUUGAAUGGGCAAGUUCCUUAGAGCUCUUACAGAACCAGGCAAGUGUCCAUGACCAAAAUGGACACAUCAAUGAGAACCUAACUAGGUCAGGGAGAAUCAUGUGAGACAUGUAUUGAUUAUUUACAAAAAUGGCAGAACAGUUCAAGGACAUCGAGUCUACUGGUCCGCUAGUAAAAUAAAUAUGUAUCUUAAGGGAAGGUUCAAAGGGUUAAACCUACCAAUCAUGUGCAUGAUUCAACUGCUAGAUUUUACCUAAAGCAACUUGGAAUUGCGGAUGCUGAAACAAUUUUCAUUCAUGUGGGGGAUUGUUGGAAAUGUUAAGAGAAAAACUUUGAGACACACUUCAACAAAAUGUUAGAACAAGUAUAUAGCUCAACGUUAAUUUCGAAGGAUCUGUUAGCUCAACAAUAAUAUUAAGAUUUAGAAGUUAGUGAGUUAGAUGCGGAAAAGUAAAGAAAUGUAAAUGACAACAAUUGUUAUAUCAAGUAUACACAAGAGCAGAUUCAUAACACGGAAUGCAUUCAAACCAAGUUAGUAAGUGAGAUCUAGCUUAGUGAUUAAGUCACAAGUGACUUGCUCCGAAGAGAGAUGAUGAUUAAUUAUGAGAGUAAGAUGAUUUGAUAAGUAAGAUAGAAUGAGAACUUGAAUAUGUGUAUUAGAAUUUGAUAAGAGAUUCAUACCGGUACUGAUUAGAUGAGAAAUGAUCUCUAUUUAUAGAGACAAGUUUACAACUCUAAGAGUAGUCAUGCAAGGCAUACUAGACAUUAGAGUGUUUUACAGAAAAGACAAAAUAAACUAAGUAAAGAUAAACAUUGCGGUGCUGAAGACUUCGGAUGACAAGUUGAUGAUGAGAUUGCUUGACUGCGGUAGCUAAAGUUCAAGAGAGUCACUUUUUGAUUCAACAAUUUCCCCUAAGUGACCUCUUUAACUUUGAUCAGCUAUCAAGUUUAAGGAAGUUGAUCAGGAUCCACCAAAACUUCCUGACGUUCUAUAACCAGUUGAUUCUUCUCAGUAUUUCAAACUCGACCUCUGCAGUUGUGUGAUUGGAUUUUUCAACUGCGUUGCGGCAGAUCUCAAGUUGUUUUCUGGUGAGACAGUGCAUGGCAGUCAUAGGAAUGAAAUAUUUGACGUUCUCAGUCUUCCUCUUGAAAAUGACUCCCAGCUCAGGAUAAAUGGUUGCACCUAAGGAUCUUUCUUCAUAGCCUUUGGUAGGCAUCGGUGCGGGGUCAAGCGGUGGAAAGUCAGCAAUCUUGGAGAUGAUGCGAUGAAUGUCUGCAUCUAUUUUGGCAAAGUCACAGACUGUUUCCUUAAGAAAGGUGAUGGCCCUUUCAAGAGCGAUCUUCAUCUUCGGAUGCUUCUCAGACUUGUGCUGAAAAACUUUGGCGAUGAGAAACACUUCUUUCAGGGUUCAUACACGGAAAAUCAGCCUGGGUGCAGAUGUAGUCGUGCUCCUUCCUGGUCAGGGUGUACUGGAUGAACUCAGCCUUCAUGAACUUUCGGAUCUUGUAAUUCUUCACUGCGGAUGGUCUAUCGUUAGACCAUAAUUGUUCAACUGGAGAGGCAUGCGUAUCAUAGAAUUGGCUAAGUCUCUCUAACUCCAUACGAAGUCUUUUGUCGUCAGGAAGGCUGCGGUCGAACUGCUCAAAUACAGUGAAGUAUCUGGCAUUCGGUGAGAUUGGGACAUCCCAGUAGCCGUCUGAGGGGGGUUCCGCAUAGGUGAGAUGAGGUACAUAGUCAUCAUCAAGAAGUCUUCUAUGUGGAUUGAUCCAAGAAUUUAUCAAGGAUUCAUCCAUAACUGUGUCGAAUCCGCAUACUCUCCAUACUUCUUCGGCCAGCUUGGCUGCCAUCUAGUCUCUUUUUCUUUAAGCAGUGGCAGGAUAGUCGUUUGAGCUUGGAGGCGACAUAUACUCCUCCAUAUUCUUAAAGUGCGGGGGAGUUUAUGGUUUUUCAGGAGUAUUAUGGAGAGGGGAGUUGUGAUGAGAUGGUUACGGUAAGAGUUGUUUUUCAUGUUGCGGUGAUGGUUGCGGAGUGGGGAUUUUUCAGUAGAGUCUGGGGGAGUUUGAUGAUGUUAAAGAGAUUGGUCGGAGUGAUGGACUUCUUCACUUCCCCCUCUUGAGGAGUUCAGACUCGGAGCCUCCUCAAGCCAUUGACGAAGGCCAUCAACCUUGUCAAAUACGGUUUGAGAUUACGGACUCAUAAGCAGUAUUAGUUUUAGCAAUCAACUUCUCAGAAUGUGAGGCCUGAUCCGCAAUUGCUGCUUGAAGGUUGGUUUUGAUUGUGGUAACUUCAAAGAUGAGGCAUUCCACAGCAGCCAUAAACUCCUUAUGAUCAGCUUGACGAUUGUUUUCAAGUGAUCUAAUCCCUAUUUCAACCUUUAGAGAGAUGCACUCCGCAACCAUUCUCUCUCUUGUUUCCAAUCGUUCUAUUCUUUCUAUCAGGGACUGCGGUCCCGGGCUGUCUACUGGUUGCGGUUGGUUCGGCUUGACCGCAGCUAAGAUUUGAUCAACCUUAUCCUGAAGACUCAGAAAUUUUUUUCUUGUGACUGCGUGCUUCUUUUUCUUCUUCUUUUCCUUAGGCUUAGUAGUGGAGUGAUGAGAACCACUGUGACAAUAGUCAAAUUCAGGUCAAGUCUAAGCCGAACAAAGUCAACAAGUCAAACCGGCAACUCAAUUAAACCUUGUAUAUUAGGGUUUGUGUUAUGUAAUUACUGUAUAACUCACUAUCUCAAUGAGAAAACAUCACUUGAAAAAAAAAUUGUGUGUUUAAUUUUUCUUAACCUUAGUACUAAACAAUGAACAAGAACAAUAAAACAAUGUUGCAUACUCAUCGAGAGUGUGCAAGAUCCUAAAACAUGGCUUAACGGGGUUCACGGACCUUGCGUUGAGGAGCCAAACACUCACUAUUGUUACACAUGAAACCACUCUCAGUCGUUUUCACUCUAUCUCUCUCUAUUGUCCAAAUCUCUCCAAGAAUGUCAAAUCUCUCCCAAAUCUCUCUAAGUAUGUGAAAUCUCUCCCAAAUAUCUCUUUGUAUGAGAAAUCUCUCCAAGAAUGCCAGAUCUCUCCCAAAUCUCUCUAAGUAUGUGAAAUCUCUCCAAAAUAUCUCUUUGUAUGAGAAAUCUCUCCAAGAAUGUCAAAUCUCUCCCAAAUCUCUCUAAGUAUGUGGAAUCUCUCUCAAAUCUCUCUCAAAAUCUUUCUCAACUUUCUAUAAUCACUCGGGGCAUCCCGACCCUCGAAUUUGGCGAAAACGGCCCAAAAACGGAAGUCUACGCGAAAAACAGACUUGAGGAACCGAAACCCCUCUUAGGACCCGAAAGUCCUCUUAGGAACUGAAACCCCUCUUAGGACCCGAAAGUCCUCUUAAGGGACCGAACCCUUCUGAGCCGAAGGCUGCUCAACAGAACCCGAAAGGUCCUCUCGGGCCCGAACCUCGCCUACACACCCGAACCUGAANCUGUUUAUUCGGUACAUUUCGGGUCUGAUCACCUUCGCUUCUAAGACCGAGCCUUCGCUUCUGAGACUAGGACCGAGCCUUCGCCUUCGCUUCUCGCUUCUGGUUCGCCCCAUAUCACCUCCGGCUCGGUAUCAUUAGGGACCGAACCUCAGCCUAGGACCGAGAGGUCUCGCUGGAAGUCCUUUUUCUCCCGGUUUUCGACUAAUUUCGCGUUUUAGGCCCGUUUUUAAUUGUUUUAACACGGGGUUUUCACCCAAAACUUUAUUUUAACAUAUAAGACCCCUUAAUUAAUGAUUAAUCACGUUUUAAGGAUAAAACCUUAUCCAAAAGAGAGUAGGUGAAGUACAAAGGUAGAGUGUUGACUUUCCUUUAUUUUAUGACACAAGCAACCCCAUACCCACUCCAUGCCUAACCCACACUCCUCCCCACCAUACCUUGUCACUUCCUUGUACUUUUUACCUCUCUCAAAAGCCAUCCCCAUGUUUUUAGGGCUGGUCACUCAACCUCUCUCCUUAUUUCUUUCAAUUACUCUCAUUUCACCAAAGAUCCAACUCCAACUUUUCCCUCAAACUUUUCUCUCUAAUUUGAGAUCCCAAGGCUAAUCAUCAAGUGCUCUUCCACUCUUGGUAAGUAUAAUUCAUCCUCCUUGUGAUUAUUCCUCUUCAUUCUACUCAAAUCACUGAUUGCUUACACAAACUCCAUAACUAUGAUGCUAGAUUCUCAAAAAUCUUAAAGGCAUCUCCAAGUGUUCUUGAGUUAAACACUUCCAUUCUUCAACAAUCAUCUACUGAAAUCACUUAAGGUGAGUUCAUACCCCUACAUUUUCAUGUUUUCUCAAGUUUUUAGGGGGGGAAUACAAGUUAAAACACCAAGAACAUAACUAAACUUUUCUAACAGCCUUCAUCAGAAAAGUUCAACUCCAUUCACGGACUGUUUUGGACAACUUAAACAUUUUUGUUUACAAAACUGUUUUAGGUGUAAGUAGUUCCAGUUCUUAUCUUUAAAAUGACUACUUGCACAUCUCCAUACGAUUUUUCUACAAUUUAUGGUGAUUUUUACAAAACUGCCUAUCAUUUCAAACACCAAUCCGGACCAGUCUGUGAUUCUGGGAUAUUUCACCCAAGAUGGAGGUCAUUAAAAAUCAAGAUAAAAAUUAUGAGUAAACUAGACAUAUUUUGGGAACUCUCAGAAUUUACGGAUUUAGUUUUCGAUUUCGUAUGAUUUUUCUAUGACUUUUCUAAAACAGCGCAGAAAGGUUAAAGAUAGUUAACAACAUAUAAACUUCAUAACACUUUGUAUUAUGUUGAGCAAAGUGUAUAACAAUAAGUUCUAAAUAUUGAAUGUGUUUCCUUGUUAGUUUAUCAUCAUAAACUGAAGCUCAAUCAUUUAUGAUAACAUUAUUCAUUCAUUUAGAACACGAAUAUUAAGCCAUAAUAAGCAUGAUUUAUGGAUUAUAACACUAAUGCAUUUUCAUAUAAGAGUUUUUAUACAUUACAAACGUUUUGGAUAAACUAUAAUAGGUAUAGUUUAUGAUUCAUCACAUAACACACUCGUACAAAAAGGGUACAUUCAUACAAAAAGGUUCUACACUUACGCACACUACACGUAAACUUGUUAACUCAGAUUGUGAGACUUUCUCUCCCUGUACGUCCGAGUGCGGGAUCCAAAUUCCUGUAAGUUAUAACCAAAAUCUCUUGUAGGGAGAGCGUGAUAAUUGUGUAUAGAUCUAUAUUGGGGUUGACAUCCCACACCUCGCUGCUAGCUACAGCCGGACCGGCAGGUCUGCGGGUGACAAGAGUCAUAGGAUCAGGGCGUCUAAAAGGACGUUGUGUAGGUUACCUCUAAUCAUAGUAUGGUUAUAGCGACUCACAUAGGAAGCUAAUAAUACAUAAAGUUUACGGGAUUUUUAUAGAGCAAAAAGGGGUUCUAUGUCGAUUUAAAAUCACUUUUAUCUCAAUAAGUACAGAUAUUACCGUAUGCUUUUGGUUUUUGGUAUCUAUGACUACACACAUUUGAAAACCACUUUUAUACCUUAAGUAUGGAAAAUACUUGUUCAUUUUUAGUCCUGGGAUUUAGGACCACGUAACUUUUGUAAAGAAAAUAUUGGAUUUUCUGGAUACAUACUCUAAUGCUUUUACAAGGGAAAAGGGUUUACUUCCCUAAAUCUCUUAUGAACUCACCAACCUUUGUGUUGACACUUUUCAAAACAACUUCUAUUCUCAGGAAAUCACUAAACAGGAAAUCAAGAGCAUUUUGAGGAUGGGACGUUAAGGCGUCAAACAUUUCAUAUUUUGUCAACAUAUUGUAAUUGAUUUUGAAACAUGUAAUUCAUACAAUGAUGUAACUUUUUCAAUUAUAUAUAUGUUGGUUGUGUUUGCUUNCAUUUGUUGUUAUGAUAUUAUACAUGAAGUCCUCCACCCCCGGACGUUUCUGCCAUCCUUGGUUUAGGGGUGUGACAACCACUGUAUUCCUCAUCUUCAUCAAACAUUAUUAAGUCGUCAUCUGAAGAAGAGGGUUUGUUUACCUCUUGUGGUUCAUCAUCAUCGAAGCCAAAAAUAGGAGCAGAGCUCACUUCGAUUUCCGGUUCUUCAUCUUGUGAACCUGCAGCAGUGGGAGACGUGGGAGCUUGAUGGACAUGUUGAUCAGCAACGGUUUACUGAGCUUGUUGAACUUGGUCUACCAUUGCGUACAUCCAUUCUUGAACCUUCAGGAUAGUGCCUACGAUAUUGGCAUUGUUGAUGGCAUCUGCCCAAUACUUUGCCACGACUUGAAUCUCUUGUUCCUUGAGCUGUUGUUGCUUCAUCUGCUGAUCCUUGCGAGCUUGAAAUGCCCUACGAAAAGCGACAUAUUUCUUGGCUUCAGCCUUGUUAGAUGGUUCAUAUCUGCUCCAAGAAUCAUUAGAGUCUUCUCUGUUAAUUCUAGUAAAUCACACCAAGGUGUCCCUUAGGUUCACAGAUCCUUGCACAUUUGUGCUCACCGUGCCUAAACCACCUGAUUUUAAUGUAAGCAGAGUAGGAUUCCUGAGCUUCCUAGGUCUCCUUGACCCGUGGUCAAGUUUGGCCUCGGCUUAGUUCUGGAAAAGGCGGAAGAAGUGCCCUGCGGAUGGGACUGUGUUUGGAGUGUAUGGGUGACAUUCAACAGGAUGGAGUUCAACUCCUCGGAUGAAAAAAUAUGCAGUCAGGAAGCCCUGGAGACUUUAGAGUGAGAACCAGUAUUAUCCCUUUGGGAAUGUACUAGUGGGGAGUCUCCUCUCUGUUGUGAUUCAGACUCACUUUCUGAGUCUGAAAGGAAAAAGAUGGUGUUAUCAAAUGGAUGUGCAGGCAUCCCAAGGACUAUUGGAGCCUAUUGAGAGGCUUAGGUAUCGGUCCGGUCAUGCAUUUGGCUAGUGGGAUCAGCUUUUCGUUUCUUGAGGAUAGAGAUGGGUUGAUUAUCCUCUUCAGAAUCACUAUCGGAGUGAUGGUGACUCGGUUCAGCAGUUAUGAAAAUUGGUGGCCAUUUUCUCUUUUUUGAUGGUUUGGAUGGUUUGGGGGCACCCUUUUUGGGGGUGCUAGAUUUCUUUGUGGUGCGGGGACCAUGGAGAGAAGAAACCUUAUGUUUGCGUCUCUGAGAGACGUUAGAAAGAGUGGUAGAAGAAGGAACUGCGGUACCUUCAGGGUUUAAAGUUGCAGAUGGAAGAGGCGGGGUAGGAAGGUAUGGGUCAAUACCUUCUGUAGCCUCAAUGUGGUCUGAGAUAUCAGCAGUCUCGAGACCAAGUGAAGUAAGAAUAUGGGUAGGGAGUCUGUGGAUGGGACCAAAAAUAGUUUGAUCAGAGGAAGGUUUGUACCUUUUUAAGUCUUUGGUGACAAAGAAAUUGAUGUCGUCACCCAUGUCAAUCUUGGCAUCCGCAUGCAAGUCAGAUAUGCACAGUGACCAGAAUCGUGAAAAAGUAAGCUCCGAUGGGUUCUGCCUCGGGCUCUCCUUGGGAAUGUAUUGGAGAAAAUCGUCCCAAAGAAUCUGACCGUAGUUCACAUCGCGGCCCAUGAAUGUGCUCCAAACUAGUUGUAAAACCUUUAAUCCAAUGUUGUUUGUGCCUCCGGUUCUGCCGGACAUACUACGGAUGAUGAAGUGAUAGACAAACUGCCAGAUUGUUGGCAAUUGAUUCUUCUUGAACUCACCAAUGCCUUUUAUCUUCUUCUGAUAGCCCAUUUGAUACAGUGCAGUGGUGACAUCCGCCAUUGAUGGUGUGAAAAUCUUAACAGAUGGAUGAAUCAGAAGAUUGAUAGCUGAAAGGAACUUUUCUUUGGUCAGGAUGACCAAAGAAUCAUUAACAAGGUUUAGAUGGACUUCUUGAGGGUUAUCGACUGGGCGAUAUGCAUAAAAGGCACACUUGUAGAGAGUGGAUAAAGGAACAAUGUCUGUAAAUGCAUCAAAAGGUCCAAAAAGGGGAUGAUUCUUCAAGAAUUUGAUCAUCAGUUUGGUUGGUGCAUUGUAAGUUGGUUGAUCGUCGAACACCGCUCUGAAAUUGCUUGAGGCAGUCGUGGGAGAGUCUGAACCAGUUGGGUUCACUGAUCCAGAAGCUUUGGAUUGUUUCUUGGAAGCGCCAGAUUUCACCAUCGUUGAGUUGGUAAGAGGUUGAAGAAUGCAGAGAAGGAUUGAGGGUUAUGAGAGCGUAAAGGUUUCUUUAUGGAGAGAAAAAGGGUUUUAUAGUGAUUUGUAGGAGCGGGAAACGUUUAGGUUUUGACAUAGGUGAAAUUGGGUAAAAAAAUUGAGUUUAUCUUUGAAAAAGCAUCUUUAAUCUUAACCACCUAUUGAGAAAAAGGGAUAAAGAUUGAAAUUGGGAUUAACCAAAAAGAAACUCUGCAUUUAAUGAAAUGUCAAAUGUUAAAUCACGUCUUGAGAACGUGUGGAGGGGGUGAGAAAAAUCCAUUGGAUAAAGUAGAAGUUGUAACGGAUGAGAUCGUUUGGGUAAUAGGAAGAGACAUUUUAGAGGAUUUGAUUUGGAAAAUCUUUUAUUUUGUCAUCAUACCUAAAAUAGGUCUGACACAAGGUUUUGGGAGAGAAUAAUGUUACAUUUUCUCGAAGGAAUGUUUUUUAUUUAAUGUUUUAUUUAAUGAAGGAUCAUUAAAUAGAACAUUAUGUUUUUUUUGUUUUUCAAAAAGAAUGAACCAUUUGUAAAGCAAUUAAUCUGACUGCGGAUGAACACAUCAUUGCGGAUGACUUCUUUGGUAUUGCGGAUGACUGCAGUGAGAGAAACUGAGAAGAGCACUUGUCCAAAAGUUGGUAAUAACAAACAAGAAGGACCCAUGAAAGAUAGAUAUAAUAUAUGGUUGCGGUACAUUGACUGCGGUACACAGAAUGUUCCAAAACAAUCUAAAGGACUUGGGAACAGCAGCUGGUUACGGCCACGUAUUCUGCUUCUGCGGUAGAUAAUGAAACACAACUUUGUUUUCUUGAGGACCAGCUGACAAGUCUACCUCCUAAAAAUUGACAUCCACCAGAUGUACUUUUUCGAUCAAGUUUGCAUCCGGCAUGAUCCGCAUCAAUAAACACUUGAAGACUGAAGUCAUUGCCUACGGGGUACCAUAGAGCAAGAGAUUUGCUUCCUUUUAGGUACCGGAGAAUUUGUUUGGCUGCGGUCAUGUGUGACACUUUUGGGUUAGCCUGAUACCUUGCACACACACACCAGUUGCAAAGACGAUGUCCGGUCGGCUUGCGGUGAGAUACAUUAAAGAGCCAAUGAUACCUCUAUAAGUCUUGUGAUCUAUUGAUUCGCUAGAAGGAUCAGCAGAGAUCUUAUAUCCGAAGGCCAAUGGAACCUUAGCCGAGGAACAGUUGUCCAUAGAGUAUUUCUUCAGAAGUUCAGUGGUGUAUUUCUUUUGAUGAAUAAAUAUCCCUUGCUGAAUUUGUUUGACUUGAAGACCUAGAAAUAAGUUAAUCUCUCUAUUCAUGCUCAUUUGAAAUUUUUUUGUCAUGAGCUUAGCAAAUUCAUCCACCAUUCCUUGAUCCGACGAUCCGAAGAUGAUAUCGUACACAUAUAUUUGUACAAGCAUAAGGUGGGAACCGUUUGCUUUUCUAAAUAGUGUGGGAUCAAUUACUCCUCUUUUGUAGCCUGAAGAGAUUAGGAAUUCAGAAAGAGUCUCAUACCAAGCUUUAGGGGCUUGCUUCAGACCGUAGACUACCUUUCGAAGCUUGUAGCAGUGAUUUGGGAACUCGAUACUUUCAAAGUCGGGAGGUUGUUGAAGAUAAACCUCUUCUUUCAAUUCCCCAUUGAGAAAAGAGCUCUUAACGUCCAUUUGGUGUACUUUGAUUUUUUUAUGGGAAGCAUAUGCUAAGAAGAUUCGGAUUGCUUCCAUUCUAGCCACCGGAGCAUAUGUUUCAUCGUAGUCAACGCCUUCUAGUUGACUAUAGUCUUUAGCAACUAGUCUUGCCUUAUUUAUGAUGACCGCACCAGAUUCAUCUAGUUUGUUCUUGAACACCCAUCUUGUACCAACAAUAGUAUGACCUUGUGGAAUGGGAACAAGUUCCCACACUUUUUUUCUUUCAAAUUCUUCCAGUUCUUCUUGCAUCGCAGAGAUCCAAUCUGGUUCCAAUAAUGCUUCAUUGAUAGAUCGAGGCUCGACUGCUGACAUAAAUGUUGUAUAGUGACAAUGGUCAGAUAAAUCCUUGGCAGAUCGAUUUUGGAUACCUGCAGAUGGGUUGCCAAUAAUUUGACCUGGUGGGUGAUCUUUCGUCCAUACAUGUAGACGAGGCAAGAAAUGAGCAGCAGCUGCAGUAGAAGGAAUGUCUUCAAUAUCAGAGGUUGCUUCGGAUGGGGAAGUAAGUUCCCCCUAGAUUUGUGAACAGCCUGCGGAAUCAUCUAGACUUGUUGGAGCGAGAAUGACAUUUUCUUGAGUAGUUUGGAGAGGUUCCCCUGGAUUGCUGAAGGGAGUUCCUCUGGAACCUGAAAAGGUUCCCGCUGGACUGCUGAUGGGAGAGAAAUGAUCCUUGAGUCAGUUCGAGUGUCAAUAUUCUCUAUGAUUUCAUCAUCCGAAUCCGAAGAUAUGUUUGAAGGAAGUGAUUUUCUGAGAAUGGGAGCUUGAGCAACAUCCAGUACUGGAACCUCGAUGGUUGUAGUAUGAACCGGAGUAGAGCUUUCCCCCUUAACUGGAGAGGUGAAAGUAUUGAGAGAUGCUACUUCGGAUAGAGAUGGACCAGAAACAUCAGCAUGUUGUUGUUGAGCAGUUGGUGAUACAAGAACCUCAUAUAGUUUUGCCAUUUCAACAGGGUCGAAAAGAUCAUCGUAAUUUACUUCAACCAGCUUUAGAGGACCUGACGAAUCAGGAAUGUUGCUUUCCAUGAUGGUAGUGGUUUCAAUAGAUGGAGGGGUGUUGCGGAUGUAAGAGUCAUCGAACUUCACAUCAAAACUUUCAAUGAUUAGCCUUGUACGUUUGAUGAGAACCCGAUACACAGCCUUAUUUGUGGAGUAACCGAGAAAGAUGCCUUCAUCAGACUUCGGUGUAAAUUUGUUAAGCUGAUCUCUGUUGUUUAUCACAAAACAUCUACACCCAAAGAUGUGAAAGAAAAAAACAUUUGGCUUUCGGUUGUUGAGACCCUCAUAUGGUGUCUUGUUGAGGCGUUUGCACACAAUGAUUCGGUUCUGAACGAAGCAUACGGUUGCUAUAGCUUCAGCGCAGAAGUAAAGUGGAAGAUUUGCGAAGUUGAGCAUGGAUCUGGCUGCUUCAACAAGGGUGUGGUUCCUUCGCUCUACUACACCAUUUUGUUGAGGUGUAUACGGAGCUGAAAAGUUAUGAGAGAUACCUUUUGACACCAAGAAGUUGUUGAGAGGAUGAUUGGUGAAUUCAGUGCCAUUGUCACUGCAGAUGUGUCUUACAGGAAGCUUGAUCUGGAGUUCAAUUUCUUUAAUAAAAUUUAUUAGAAUCUGCGGUGUUACGGAUUUGAGUCUGAGAAAGAAUACCAAAGUGAAGCGAGUGAAGUCAUCAACUAUAAUCAGUAUAUAUUUUUUAUGAUGGAGACUGGCUACGGUUGAUGGACCGCAGAGAUCAAUGUGGAGAAGUUCAAGUGGUUCGGAUAUAGAGGAGUCAAUCACCAUAGGGUGACUUGCUUUUGACUGGUUACCACAUUCACAAGAAGGACAUAGAGUAUCAUUACUGAACUUGAGAAUGGGUAGACCUCUGACCAAUUCUUCGGUGACUAAGGAGUUGAUGUAUUUGAAGUUGAGAUGAGCAAGCUUGUGGUGCCAUAACCAGCUAACUUCGGAUACGACUUUUGAGAGAAAGCACAGCUGCAGUUUACCAAUGAUGAGAGAAACAUCUAGAGGAUGCAUUGUGCCUUCAGAUCGUGACCUGAUUAAGCAAGUACUUCCAUCACUCGUCAUGAUGUAACAGAAUUGAUCAUCAAACUCCGCUUGAUGUCCUGCCUUACAGAGUUGGCCAACACUGAUGAGAUUGUGUUUAAGGCUUUCUACAUAGGCAACCUUCUGUAUUGAGAAGUUCCCCGUAGUGAGUAUACCGUAACCUCGAAUAAUGCCAUUCACAUUGUUGCCGAAUGUAACAUUUCCACCAUUGCAUAUAGGCCUGAAAUCCCGAAGGUAUUCUAACCUUCCGGUCAUGUGCAAGGAGCAGGCACUGUCGAUCAACCAUUCUUCUUCUUGAUCCUCCUUUCACAAAGCCUACAAAAAUUAAGUGGUUCAUUUGGGCACCCAAGCGAGUUUGGAGCCUGGAGUCACAUACGAUGUAUUAAUUGAUGCAUGAUGCGAGGUGGUAGGGACAAGUUUUAAGUCAACUUUCAAGCCUAGUCCUGGGUGUUUGAGAUUUUUUGGAGUUUUAUGAGAUUGUGGAUAGUUACGAGUCUUUUGAGAACGAUGAGAUUUGUCAUGAGAGAAGAUCUUUUGACACUGACAUUGACACGUGAAUUUUUUGUCAUUUCUCCUGACAUUUGACUUAGUCUGAGGUUUUGAAGAGAAAGUAUGCUUUUGUCCAGUCCGAGGAUUGUAAGAUUUGACCUUUUUGUUUGUGUGUUUUGAAAAGGUAUUUUUUUCAGGUCUAGCAGGUGUGUAGACACAUGCAAGCCUUUUGUGAGGUGAUUUCUUAAACUCUUGAGGUGGCCUUUUGAGUGCCGGAGUUGGAAAAUUUUCUUUCCAUUUUUGAGGUUUUGAAAGUGACAUCGGAAGGGUUGGAGUAGGUAGAAUACCUUUCCAUUUUGGAUUGUCUAAAGAAUAGACCUGAAAACCAUUUGAUCGAAAAAACUUAUCCUUAGAGUCAGAUAUUUUUUAGUAGUGUCAGAAACAGCGAACUCCUUCCUUUUUGUUUUCUUGGAAACAGUUUUCUUGAAGUGAUAAUUUGAGAAAACAAGUUAUUAUGGGCUCUUUGAUUUGGGACAUUUCACAAGUUUCUUUUGUUUUGAAUGAAUUUCCAGUUGCUUCCACGGGAACGAAAUUCUUCUUUAAAAGCUCUUUUUGCCUCGAUCAUAGGAGAACCACAGUCAGUGACAUUUAAUUGCGGUUUCCUUAAAUCUUUUGAAGAUUUUGAAAAACAAGGACUUGAUUCGUCUGAACUGGAGAAGUUAGGACUUUGAGAACAUUGAGCAAAUUCAAAAUUUUCGAUUGGUAAUUCAUGAUUAAUUGGUUCAAUAGUCAUAGAACUUUUGACUAUGGUCUGCGGUGUAGUGCUUUGGACUACCGCAGAGUAAGUCUUGGUAGACACUUCAGUGGGAUAUUUGAUACUGGGUAAUGGGACGGAUUGCAGUUCAUGAUUGCGGUUAGGAACACUGCGGUCAGACUGCAGAGAUUGAAAGUCUAAUGAGACGUCAGGACUUUCUACAACAAUUUCUUCAUCGGCUACGGAUGAUGUCUGUGAAUCAGACUGAACUAUGUUAUCAACAUGAUUAGAAAAUUCAGGGAUAAAUUCCUCGAUAACAUAGUUAUUACUCAAAUCAUGGAGUUUACCAAAAUGAGCUUGGAUAUCCUCAGGAAAUGUUUUGUCAUUGACUGGGAAUAAGAAGUUGUGGUCUAGAGGGACAUAGCGACGUUCAGGUGUGAACCGAGGUGAAGAGUCUGUUACGGUUGGGUAUCCAUUGGACCAACCCCAAUUAAAGGUGUUAUCAACAUUCCCAUUAUUAACAAGAUUCGCAAUGGCCUCAGUUUCAUUAAAAAGCUUUUAAAUUAAAAGAUUUAAGCGUACAAUUUUACUCUGUGCUAAAUCUCUCUAAUUUAAAGCUAUUUCUAGUUGUGUUUCACUUAAGAUCCUAGCAUCUUUUUCUAGCAUCAAGUCCUUCUCUAACAUGCCAUUUUGAGUCUCUUAUUGUCCAAAUGUCCUCUAACAUGGAACAUCUCCUACGAAGCGAUGUUCUUCUCAUCUAAGGCUUUAUUGUAGUCUGUAAGGACGGCAGCACAUGUGUCAUUGAGUGUGUCUAUGAAAGGUUGACAAUCAUGCAUGUUGUGAUUUAAAGUUUGAAUCAUAAGUUUUACUUGUUCCACAAUGCUGAGAGUUCCAUCUUUUGCAAUAUAGCAAUGGUUCUUCUUUAGAUUAGUUGAGCCGUAUUCAUCAGUAGUUGCUACCAUACAGAUUUUGUCUUUUGUCACAACUAGGAAAUUCGAUGCCUUGUAAACAUGGAACAAUGAUAACAAAUGUAAACCAACAAUGUGAAAUCAUGUAAGAUCCUUAUUCAAUAACAACAAACUUCAAUCAAAAACUUCAUACAAGCUCUACAAAUAGUCAACAAAGAAUUGGAAACCCUAGAAAUCCUGGUUUAAGUCCAUUCUGGACUAGGAUUUCCUUAUUGGACCCAAUGGGCCAAUAAGCUUCCAAUUUGACUAUCUUGGGCUUAGAACUCUUAAAUGGGCUCUAAUUGGACCCACUUCUAUUUAUUUUAAUAUUUUGGGCCAUAUUAGGCCUAGAAUGAAAUAAAAUACUUUAAUGGACCUCGUUGGGCCAUAACUAAACUAAUUAGCCCUAAUGAGCCAUAAAAAUCAUUUCUUGAAUUUUUUUGGGCCAAGAAUCAUCUAAUUAAGCCAUAAUAUGGAUUAAACACCAAAGGCCCAAAAAUUUCUCUCAUCAAGGUCUCUCUCUUCCCCUCCCUUCUUCUCUCGGCCGAACACACACACACACACACUCACAAAAUUUAUCUUCAUUCUCUCAAACUUUCACUAGAACAUCCUUACACUCUCCCUUAAAAAUUUCGAGAAUCACAAGGGCUACAAGGAAAUCUCUUCUUAAUAUCACAAAUCUAAGGUAAUUUGAUGUUUGAUCCAUAAUUUAACACGCUUCUUUUCAUCAAAAAUCAUCUCUUAAUCCAUUCAAAUUCAUGAUCUUGCAUCUUAGAACACACUAAGUUCGAGAUCCAUCCAAGAAACUUGCUAGGGCCGAAAAUAGCACCAAACUUAUCCCAAUCUUCUUUAAAACCGAAACCACAACUCAAGGUGAGCUUCAUACCCCUUUCUUUUCUGGUUUCAUGAGUUUUAUGGGGGAGAAUACAAGAAAAUGUGUAGAUCUAUGUGUAUGUGUAUGCUAUGUGCGAUUUUAUGCAUAUAUGUGUGUGAUUUCAUAUGUUUUUGUGAUGAAUAUGUUAACAAAAGGUGUGUAAACCCGAGAUCUAUGACAUAAGUAAGGAAACAAACAUAAUCUAAGCUAUUUUACACCAAACCAGUCAAGAAUGAUAACUUAAAAGGUUAUGAUAAACAUAUUCUAACAUAAAACCCAUUUUAGGGCUUAAAUUGUCAAAAAUACAAAACUUGGGUUACAAAUCGAUAAGUCACGGUUUCUGGAGGGCAAAAAGGGUCAAAACAGUUUCUAUAAUCAUUUUUCUGAAUGAUAGAAUUUUCAUGGGACUUAAAAUGUAAAUUUUUAGCUUAAUGGGCUAAUUUUGGGCUUUUCGACCCAAUAAGCCUCAAAAUGCGAAAAUGAGAAAUUUAAUGGGCUGAAAUAAAACUUUCGGUAAAACAGGGGGUAAUUAGCAUAAAAAAAUAUUUUAAGGGUCAAAAAUGUUUUUCACUGUCAAAAAGGAACAAAAAUGCAAAGUUUUUAGAUUUUGGACCAAAACUGUAAAAGUUGAGAAAAAUGGGGUUCUAACCGAGAAACACCAUUCUAGGAGGGCUGAAGCUUCCAACAAAAUAAAUUUCGGGUUAGAACUGUCUUUUCAACAAGUUUAUGAUACAAAAGUGUCAAGAAAAUGUUUUAAGGAACUAAAAAUGAAAUUCUUUUAUCUAAAAGGACCAAAAGUGUUACUUUUAUAAAAGAAGGGUAGUGAAAAGGUCAAAUUCCACUUUUAAACAAAUUAAUUCAUUAAUACAAAAUACAAGAUCCACAACUACCAACGAAACGGAAAACAAAUACACUUUCAACAUCAAAUAUAUAUAUCGGAUUUUUUGGGCUUUACAAACUACACCAAAUCAUUUUAUCACAACAUUUCUUAUGAACUCACCAACAUCUAAUAUGUUGACAUUUUUCAAAUUAACUUGUAUUCUCAGGUAACAGGUAAACCGAAGAAUAAGUACCAAGUAAUGUAUGGGUGUUUUGCUUAUGAUAUCUAUCAGAUAAUCUAUGUUAUGAAUUUGAAAUGUUCAAAACAAUGUACUGGAUGUAAACAAUAUCAGUUGUAUUAUUUUAAUGCAUGGUGAUGAUUUAUGUUAAGAUUCAUGUAUAUUCAUUGUGAUGGUAUUCAAUUUAAGUCACAAGAUCCCUCGAACGUUCCGCCGUCUGGUUCGGGGGUGUGACACCUUUUCCUCUACUGAGAUCAUCUUCAUCUUCAUCUCCUGAUGACCACACUUGAUGAUUCCUUUUCACUUAAGCAACGUAGGCUUUUCCCUUUUUUUGUCUUCCAGUUCUUGAGCCAUUCUGAGAUAGAAGGCUCUAUCUUUCACUAUGUUUACCUUGCAAUCCUUGGCAAAAUGGUUGUCUUUGUUGCACUUGUGACAUAUAACAAUGUCACUUUUGUCUUCUAAAGAGGUACCGGAGUCAGUUGAUUGAAACUGCGGUGGUACGUCUUUAGACUGUGUUUGCUGAGGCUGCGGUGGGGGGAGAAGAUUCUUGGUGGAACGAAAGUGAUUNGGUGGAGGGAGAAGAUUCUUGGUGGAACGAAAGUGAUUGUUUUGAAAGUUGCGGUUGAAGGGUGGUCGAUUGUAUUGUUGGUUUUUGCGAAAUGAAGGUGGUAAGCGAUUGAAUUUGUGACUGAUAAGGGCGAUGGCAUUCUGAAACUCUUCUUCAUCGUCAUAUUCUGAUUCAGCUUCAUAUGACUGCGGUGGUAAGUCAUACGAAGUGGGAUAGGUUUGAGUGUGAGGUGAUUGUGCUACUAGUGCAAGUGGACCUCCGAAGUCUGAGCAGUCCUUGAGUAUGGUGGACUCUUGAACUUGUAACUCUCCAUAGAGCUUAUAGAGGGAUAACGAGUGAACCGUCUUGUCACCUUGUACAAUCAUUUUGGCUGUUGUCCAGUGUCUUCCCAAGCCAUUAAGGAACUGUAGGUUUGUUUCAUGAUUGUUGCAGAUCGUGCCCGCAUUGGACAAGUUUGUGACAAUCAAGUUGAAUCUCUUAAAAGAAUCUUCCAAACUUUCACCGGAGUGGGCUUUGAAGUUGUUGAAUUCAUUAAGUGAUGUAGUGAGCUUCUUGACUUAAGCCUGCUCUGAGCCUUCGUACAAGUUUUUGAGAACAUCCCAAAUCUCCUUUGCUGAUUUGCAGUUUAUGAUGAUGUCAAAGUUGUCAGGAGCAACUCCACAAGAGAUUUCAUAAAAGGCAAUAGCAUCAUUUUCCUUUUUGUAUAGAUCAUCUUUGGUGGGACGGUUCAAAGCUGGUUGUCCUCCUCCUAGCCUUGCUGUGGCUCCAUCAGUUUGGACUGGUGUAAGGACUGGAACAUGGGGUCCUUCUUCUAUGGAUCUCCAGACAUCUCUACCAAGUCGUCUGAGAUAUCUUUCCAUCCUUUGAGACCAGUGAUGAUACUCAUUCGCAACCAGUAUUGGGGCUUGAUUAGAACCACCAACACUGUUGGAGACAUUCAGUGAUAACGAUUGUGCCAUUUUGAAGAUUUUUUUGUUUUGUUUUUUUUAUUUUGAAAUGAGCUUCAGUGGUAUAGAAAGCUCUUCGAAAAAUCAGAGUUCCGAUUUUCAAAAAGCAACCACUAUGGAUCUGAUACCAAUUGUUGAGAGAAAAACUUUGAGACACACCUGAACAAAAUGUUAGAACAAGUAUAUAGCGGAAUAGUUAAUCUCGAAGGAUCUUUUAGCUCAAUAAUAAUAUUAAGAGUUAGAAGUUAGUGAGUUAGAUGCGGAAAAGUAAAGAAAUGUAAAUGACAACAAUUGUUAUAUCAAGUAUACACAAAAGCAGAUUCAUAACAAGGAAUGCAUUCAAACCAAGUUAGUAAGUGAGAUCUAGCUUAGUGAUUAAGUCACAAGUGACUUGCUCCGAAGAGAGAUGAUGAUUAAUUAUGAGAGUAAGAAGAUUUGAUAAGUAAGAUAGAAUGAGAACUUGAAGAUGUGUAUUAGAAUUUGAUAAGAGAUUCAUAUCGGUACUGAUUACAUGAGAAAUGAUCUCUAUUUAUAGAGACCAGUUUACAAUUACAUGAGAAAUGAUCUCUAUUUAUAGAGACAAGUUUACAAUUCUAAGAGUAGGCAUGCCAGGCAUACUGGACAUUAGAGUGUUUUACAGAAAAGACAAAAUAAACUAAGUAAAGAUAAACACUGCGGUGCUGAAGACUUCGGAUGACAAGCUGAUGAUGAGAUUGCUUGACUGCGGUGGCUUGUAGGCUGCGGUAGCUAAAGUUCAAGAAGGUCACUUUUUGAUUCAACAGGAAAAUUAAUUUCCAAAAAAAUGGAUUUUUUCCAAUUUUGAGCACGAAUUUUGGACUCUAAAUAUAAUCAUAACGAGUUAUUGAUUAUAUAUUCGUGUUUUCCUCCGUGAUAUCUACGUUUCGAUAUAUUACACGUCCAAAACGGAUUAAAAAUGAAUGAGAAAUAACUUGUCAAAGCAGGGCAAUUGGAAUAGAAAAUAAAAGAGUUGAGUGGGUUUAAAACUCAUCCCACAUUGGUGGGAGAAUGAAAAGGAAAUUGGUUUAUAACUACAAAGACUAGCUACCUUUGUAAGACUUAUUAGAACCAAGGCUCUCUCUUGUGCGCGCACGUAGGGGGGGAUGCAAAUUCAAGCCAAAUUGGCUUUGAGCCACUAAGCUUGUGUGUGAGCGCGCGUCCUGGCGGCACGAAUGCACCACUGGUUUACCAGAAAAGUUCAAGGACCUUUUUUGCAUUUUUUUUCGUUUGGUUAACAGUUACAAAAACGAAUUAAGAGUAAUUAAUCAUAGAUUUCGGUUUUGAUUUCUUGAUUAAUUUUCUUAUUUAAUUGUGACAGUUACGAUUUCGUUUUAAUUGCAUCAGUUACAUUAGGUAGUAUACAUACAAUGUAUAUGUGACUGAUUCCAGACAGCGGAUGAAACGAAAUCACUCUCUUCCUCUCUUACGCUUCCGCUUCAUCUUUUCUCUCUUGCUGCAGCCAAGGUAUAAUCCGGGUCAAGUGAGGGUUCGAGCAAUCUAGAAGAAUUGUUUUCUACUGUUGUAUCCUGGGAAACAAACACCAAUAUAGGGUGAAUUUGUUUUAAGGAAACUGUGUUAAACACAAGACUCAGUCAAGAAUUUUUUGCUUUUGUUCUUUGUACAAUUUUGGGUUAUAUUUUCCUAACAAUUAUUCACUCUUCAAUGUAAACACAUACAACUAUACAUACAUUACAUAUACAUAUAUUAUAACCACAUAUAAGAUCAAUCUGAAAAAACUGGAAGUAAAUUUUUCAUGAAAUCGAAUAGAACAUCUAGUGUAGCGAAACCAUAACGAUGUUGGUGUUGUGGUAGUGUUGUUGCGGAAUAAAUCCGACAACAGUGGUGACAACACGAGGAAAGUGGUCAACUAUGCUUAAUUCACAAAAUCAAACACUCAAACUCACUAGAUGGUCAUGGGGAGAAGAGAAAGUGAAAGGAGGGACAAAGAAGGACGGGCAUGUGGUCAUCGUCGGAAGUAGGGAUCGUCAUUGAUGAAACUUUUGUCAUUGGUGAUGUUGUGUUGUCGGUGAUGCAAGUCGUCGUCAUUAGUGAUAGGUUGUACCUUCUAAUCGACGUUGGUGAUGCACAAAUUGGUGGGAACUCAACAGACCAAAAAGAACGACAAAAGACAGGAAAAUGGAGAAGAUGGGGAUAUAUCUGCAAGAAGCAUUAGCGGCGACAGGGUUUAAAUGGCGAUCAUUUGGAGGGAAUUUAUACCGCACAAUUAUUUUCGAGUAUUAGCGGCACAAUUAUUAGUCACCGCCAUUGAUGUUGCUGCUGAUAGUAUGUGCGAUAUUUGUUUCGAAUCGUUAGAUCAGGGUGGAGAUCGACAUAUAUGACUAAACGUUAGCUUUUGACGCAGAUCGGAGUCCUUAACAUUUAGCUGCGACGUCCACUUUUAUGGGCGACAUGUUACGCGAAAGUUAGAUAACCCCGCUAAAGGUUGACGUUGCCACUUAUUUUUCUUGUAGUGGUGUUAGGAAUAGUAAGGUUUUUGAGUGAGAUUCGUUUUCUUGUAAUACUGUCGUCUUACAUUUAAUUGAGCUGAAACGUUAUUUUAUUGUUGGUUCCUAUAUUUUCUUCCACAAAUUUAUUCGUCGUUAUUUUUGUCUCAUAGGUCACUAAAUACUAAUAACUAUUAAAUUAAAUUAGAAACAACUAAUGUAACAAUAAUAAGCACAAAAUAUUAAUCUUAAAAUAAUUUAGUGGACUUAAACAACGUUAUGAAUGAAAGGGAUCAAUGGUGGACGAACCUCGGCAUAAAAAACUUUUAAAAAAUAUUCCACUAAAACUAAACCCAACGAAAAUGUAUAAAAACAUGAACUAUUCUUGUGGUUUGGUCUUUAUAAUAUUUAAUGCCCAAUUUUUUGUAAACUAUUAUUGAUUAAUACGAAGCUCAUAAGCCUAAAGCUCUUUUCUUUUGUUGGGAUGUUGGUAAUUUUAUUGGAAGGAGAGGCAGUGAAUGAUUGAACCAAUGCAAGACAUGCUUCUGUUAGUUGUUCUACAAUUUGCGAUGCAUACCCGUCAAACCUUGCAAUUCAAUGCUCACAAUCUUUCGUCACCAAAUGGAAACCAACAAAAAUAGAAAAUAGAAAAUAGAUCAUUCCUGUUCUUUUAUAUUUAUCAGUUUUUAUAUCAAAUUUUCAUCUUUUUCAUAUUAUUAUUCAAAACUCAAUUUUUUUACGUUAAUUAUAUUAUUGUAUACUUUUAUAACAUGUAGUUUUAACCACAUGAUAUGAUAUAUAAAUAAAAGACACAAGUUGAGUUGAAAAUCGUCUUUCCUAUUUAUCAUUUUAUCUUAACGACGGUUCAUAUAACCGACAUAUGAUUUAUAUCCUACAAAACAAAACAAAUAGUUUGUGUUUAUAUAUGAUUUCAAAAUAAAAAAAAUAAGGGAAAAUGACUUAAAAGUCCAACAAAGUUUCCAAACCAUUCAAAAAACCCCAAUCAAGUUUUGUUUGUUCAAAAAAACCCAACGAACUUAACAUUUUAUCUAAAAAGUCCAAUAAAGUUCCAAACCGUUCAGAAAAUCUCAAUUUUGUUUUGCUUAAGUUCAUUGGGUUUUUUUUGAACAGUCAAAACAUGAUUGGAGUUUUUUAAACGUUUUGGAAACUUCGUUGCCUAACAAGUCAUUUUUCCGAUACGGUAAUAAGCCACGUCAUAUGUUUCUCUUAUUUGAAUUUCAGGAAAGUAUAACUUAGUUGAGCUUUUUAGACAAAAUGUUAAGUUUGUUGGGUUUUUUUGAACAGACAAAACAUAAUUGGGGUUUUUUGAACGGUUUGGAAACUUAAUUGGGCUUUUAAGUCAUUUUCCCAAAAAAUAAUGCCAAAACGUAUUUAAAUCAUGAGGUUGGUUUGAUAGGCAAAUGCUAGUCACGUGCCCGCUUCCCAGUUGAAAAUUUGAGAUACGGGAGUUAUACAUGUGAUACCCAUCCACCAUUCUCCCACAUACCAAACCCAUCAUUCCUUCUAUAUAUCAUCCCUUCUAUAUAUUUUCAAGAUACAACCAUCACUUAACACAACAAUUCUAUUUUUCAAGUCAUAGAUCACUACCAUUUGUACCUUCACAAAAAAAAUGGUUAACGUUGAGGAGUUCAGAAAGGCGCAACGAGCUGAAGGUCCGGCAACAAUUAUGGCCAUAGGAACUGCCACCCCACCAAAUUGUGUCCUCCAAAGCACCUAUCCAGAUUACUAUUUUCGUAUAACAAAAAGCGAGCACAAGACAGAUCUUAAGGAGAAAUUUAGACGCAUGUGUAAGUUAUAUACAUGUCAUGUAGUACUACUUAAUGACGUAAUUCUAGUUCAAUAUUUUAUUGUUAAUUACAUUAAAUCUUUUUGGGUGAUGUUUUCAGGUGAUAAAUCAAUGAUAACAAAGCGAUACAUGUACUUGACUGAGGAGAUUCUGAAAGAGAAACCAAACAUUUGCGCUUACAUGGCACCAUCGUUAGACGAAAGACAAGAUAUCGUUGUCGUGGAAGUUCCAAAGCUAGGUAAAGAAGCUGCAAUUAGGGCAAUCAAGGAAUGGGGUCAACCCAAGUCAAAGAUCACCCACCUCGUGUUUUGUACCACUUCGGGGGUUGACAUGCCCGGAGCAGAUUACCAGCUUACAAAGCUCCUCGGUCUUCGUUCUUCAGUCAAACGCUUCAUGAUGUAUCAACAAGGGUGUUUUGCUGGUGGCACUGUUCUUCGUUUGGCCAAGGACUUAGCUGAGAACAACAAGGGUGCACGUGUAUUGGUUGUUUGCUCCGAGAUCACCGCAGUUACUUUCCGUGGACCUAAUGAGACUCAUCUUGAUAGCCUUGUAGGUCAAGCUUUGUUUGGCGAUGGUGCAGCAGCUAUUAUAGUAGGUUCUGACCCAUUGCCCGAUGUGGAAAAGCCACUUUUUGAGUUAAUUUCUGCUGCCCAAACUAUUCUUCCAGAUAGCGAAGGUGCAAUUGAUGGGCACCUUCGUGAGGUCGGGCUUACAUUUCAUCUCCUCAAAGAUGUUCCUGGACUUAUCUCAAAACACAUUGAAAAGAGCUUGGUAGAGGCCUUUAAACCGUUGGGAAUUGCUGAUUGGAACUCACUUUUUUGGAUCGCACAUCCAGGUGGC